rnacentral:rRNA from 1 species
AGCCAACUUCUAGCCCCACCAACACCCAUAAAAAUUCUUUUUUCCCCAACCAAAACAUUUCAUACACCUAGUAUAGGCGAUAGAAAAGUAACACUAACCAUAACAGGCGCGAUAGAGACAUGUACCGUAAGGGAAAGAUGAAAUAAUAAUGAAAACCCAGGCACGAAACAGCAAAGAUUAAUCCUUGUACCUUUUGCAUCAUGAUUCAGCAAGAACAACCAAGCAAAGCGAACUUAAGCUUGCCACCCCGAAACCCAAGCGAGCUACUCACAAGCAGCUAUACAUUGAGCGAACCCGUCUCUGUCGCAAAAGAGUGGGAUGACUUGUUAGUAGAGGUGAAAAGCCAAUCGAGCUGGGUGAUAGCUGGUUGCCUGUGAAACGAAUCUAAGUUCUACUCUGACAGCUCCCCCACUGACCCCCAACAAAUCGCCGUAGCCUCUCAGAAGCAAUUUAAAGGGGGUACAGCCCCUUUAAAAAAGAACACAAUCUCCCCUAGCGGAUAACCCCCCCCCCCCAUCUAAUCCCAUGUUGGCCUUCAAGCAGCCAUCAACAAAGAGUGCGUCAAAGCUCAUACACUGAAAAAUAUCAUAACUAAGCGAAUCCCUACACACUGUAACAGGCCAACCUAUGGCAAUAGGAGAAUUCAUGCUGAAAUUAGUAACUAGGGGCCCCCCUCACAAGCGCAAACUUACAUGCUCUCAUUAUUACCCAAAACAAGGUACUCCCACUUUAACAAGACCACGUACCCAAUGACCUGUUAAACCUACCCAGGAGCGCCCAACAUGAAAGAUCUAAAUCUGUAGAAGGAACUAGGCAAACUCCAGGGCCCGACUGUUUACCAAAAACAUAGCCUUCAGCCCACCAAGUAUUGAAGGUGAUGCCUGCCCAGUGACACCAAGUUCAACGGCCGCGGUAUCCUAACCGUGCGAAGGUAGCGCAAUCAAUUGUCCCAUAAAUCGAGACUUGUAUGAAUGGCUAAACGAGGUCCUAACUGUCUCCUACAGACAAUCAGUGAAAUUGAUCUCCUCGUGCAAAAGCGAGGAUGUAAACAUAAGACGAGAAGACCCUGUGGAACUUUAAAAUCAACGACCACACCACACAACCCUCAAGCCUACAAGGCCCACUACCCAACCCCCCUCACUGGUCCGUAUUUUUCGGCUGGGGCGGCCCUGGAGAAAAACAAAUCCUCCAGAAACAAGACCCAACCUCUUAACUAAGAGCAACCCCUCAACGUGCUAAUAGCCACCAGACCCAGUACAACUGAUCAAUGAACCAAGCUACCCCAGGGAUAACAGCGCAAUCCCCUUCAAGAGCCCAUAUCGACAAGGGGGUUUACGACCUCGAUGUUGGAUCAGGACACCCUAAUGGUGCAGCCGCUAUUAAGGGUUCGUUUGUUCAACGAUUAACAGUCCUACGUGAUCUGAGUUCAGACCGGAGCAAUCCAGGUCGGUUUCUAUCUAUGACGAACCUCCCCUAGUACGAAAGGACCGGGGAAGUGAGGCCCAUGCCUCAGGCACGCCUUCCUCUCAAGUACGGAACCCAACUAAACUACCUAAAGAGUCCCCCACACCCAUCCUAAAAAAGGACU